rnacentral:rRNA from 1 species
CCUACGGGUGGCAGCAGUGAGGAAUAUUGGUCAAUGGUCGGGAGACUGAACCAGCCAAGCCGCGUGAGGGAUGAAGGUACAGAGUAUCGUAAACCUCUUUUGUCAGGGGACAAAAUCGGGGACGUGUGCCCGGCUGAGUGUACCUGAAGAAAAAGCAUCGGCUAACUCCGUGCCAGCAGCCGCGGUAAUACGGAGGAUGCGAGCGUUAUCCGGAUUUAUUGGGUUUAAAGGGUGCGCAGGCGGUCUGUUAAGUCAGCGGUCAAAGCCCGGGGCUCAACCCCGGCCCGCCGUUGAAACUGGCAGUCUUGAGUUGGCGAGAAGUAUGCGGAAUGCGCGGUGUAGCGGUGAAAUGCAUAGAUAUUGCGCAGAACUCCGAUUGCGAAGGCAGCAUGCCGGCUCCAAACUGACGCUGAGGCACGAAAGCGUGGGUAUCGAACAGGAUUAGAUACCCCAGUAGUC